CCUACGGGCGGCUGCAGUGGGGAAUUUUGGACAAUGGGGGCAACCCUGAUCCAGCCAUGCCGCGUGAGUGAAGAAGGCCUUCGGGUUGUAAAGCUCUUUCGGCCGGGAAGAAAUCGCUCAAGCUAAUACCUUGGGUGGAUGACGGUACCGGAAGAAGAAGCACCGGCUAACUACGUGCCAGCAGCCGCGGGAAUACGUAGGGUGCGAGCGUGCGUCGGACUUACUGGGCGGGCAGCAUGCGCCAGAGGCGAAAGCCCCGGGCUUAACCUGGGAACUGCGUUUGUGACUGUGGUGGUCGAGUGCGGCAGAGGGGGGUGGAAUUCCACGUGUAGCAGUGAAAUGCGUAGAGAUGUGGAGGAACACCGAUGGCGAAGGCAGCCCCCUGGGUCGACACUGACGCUCAUGCACGAAAGCGUGGGGAGCAAACAGGAUUAGAUACCCGUGUAGUC
rnacentral:rRNA from 1 species